rnacentral:tRNA from 1 species
GGACAGGUAGCUCAAGGGUAGAGCGGACGACUCGCGAUCGCAACGUGCUGGUUCGAGUCCAGCCCUGUCCA